AACAGGAUUAGAUACCCUGGUAGUCCAUGCCGUAAACGUUGGGCACUAGGUGUGGGGGACAUUCCACGUUUUCCGCGCCGUAGCUAACGCAUUAAGUGCCCCGCCUGGGGAGUACGGCCGCAAGGCUAAAACUCAAAGGAAUUGACGGGGGCCCGCACAAGCGGCGGAGCAUGCGGAUUAAUUCGAUGCAACGCGAAGAACCUUACCAAGGCUUGACAUGAACCGGAAUGAUGCAGAGAUGUGUCAGCCACUUGUGGCCGGUUUACAGGUGGUGCAUGGUCGUCGUCAGCUCGUGUCGUGAGAUGUUGGGUUAAGUCCCGCAACGAGCGCAACCCUCGUUCCAUGUUGCCAGCGGGUUAUGCCGGGGACUCAUGGGAGACUGCCGGGGUCAACUCGGAGGAAGGUGGGGACGACGUCAAAUCAUCAUGCCCCUUAUGUCUUGGGCUUCACGCAUGCUACAAUGGCCGGUACAAAGGGUUGCGAUACUGUGAGGUGGAGCUAAUCCCAAAAAGCCGGUCUCAGUUCGGAUUGAGGUCUGCAACUCGACCUCAUGAAGUUGGAGUCGCUAGUAAUCGCAGAUCAGCAACGCUGCGGUGAAUACGUUCCCGGGCCUUGUACACACCGCCCGUCAAGUCACGAAAGUUGGUAACACCCGAAGCCGGUGGCCUAACCCCUUGUGGGAGGGAGCCGUCGAAGGUGGGACCGGCGAUUGGGACUAAGUCGUAACAAGGUAACC
rnacentral:rRNA from 1 species